rnacentral:rRNA from 1 species
CCUACGGGGUGCAGCAGUGGGGGAUAUUGGACAAUGGGGGGAACCCUGAUGCAGCGACGCCGCGUGGGUGAAGAAGCGCCUCGGCGCGUAAAGCCCUGUCAGCAGGGAAGAAAAUGACGGUACCCGAAGAAGAAGCACAGGCUAACUACGUGCCAGCAGCCGCGGUAAUACGUAGGGGGCAAGCGUUAUACGGAUUUACUGGGUGUAAUGGGGGCGCAGACGGCGCUGCAAGCCAGGAGUGAAAGCCAGGGGCCCAACCCCGGGACUGCUUUUGAAACUGCGUGGCUGGAGUGCAGGAGGGGCAGGCGGAAUUCCUGGUGUAGCGGUGAAAUGCGUAGAUAUCAGGAGGAACACCGGUGGCGAAGGCGGCCUGCUGGACUGCAACUGACGUUGAGGCCCGAAAGCGUGGGGAGCAAACAGGAUUAGAUACCCGAGUAGUC